GAUGAAGAACGCAGCGAAAUGCGAUAAGUAAUGUGAAUUGCAGAAUUCCGUGAAUCAUCGAAUCUUUGAACGCACAUUGCGCCCCCUGGCAUUCCGGGGGGCAUGCCUGUCCGAGCGUCAUUUCUGCCCUCAAGCACGGCUUGUGUGUUGGGUGUGGUCCCCCCGGGGACCUGCCCGAAAGGCAGCGGCGACGUCCGUCUGGUCCUCGAGCGUAUGGGGCUCUGUCACUCGCUCGGGAAGGACCUGCGGGGGUUGGUCACCACUAUAUUUACCACGGUUGACCUCGGAUCAGGUAGGAGUUACCCGCUGAACUUAAGCAUAUCAAUAAGCGGAGGA
rnacentral:misc_RNA from 1 species